GAUGAACGCUGGCGGAAUGCUUUACACAUGCAAGUCGAGCGGCAGCGCGGGGCAACCUGGCGGCGAGCGGCGAACGGGUGAGUAAUACAUCGGAACGUGCCCAGACGUGGGGAGUAACUACUCGAAGAGUGGCUAAUACCGCAUACGAUCUACGGAUGAAAGCGGGGGAGUCGCAAGACCUCGCGCGUCUGGAGCGGCUGAUGGCAGAUUAGGUAGUUGGUGGGAUAAAAGCCUACCAAGCCAACGAUCUGUAGCUGGUCUGAGAGGAUGAUCAGCCACACUGGGACUGAGACACGGCCCAGACUCCUACGGGAGGCAGCAGUGGAGAAUAUUGGACAAUGGGGGGAAACCCUGAUCCAGCUACGCCGCGUGGGUGAUGAAGGCCUUCGGUUGUAAAGCCUGUCGAGGGGACGGAAGUUCUGACGGUA
rnacentral:rRNA from 1 species